CCUACGGGUGGCAGCAGUGGGGAAUAUUGGGCAAUGGGCGCAAGCCUGACCCAGCAACGCCGCGUGAAGGAAGAAGGCUUUCGGGUUGUAAACUUCUUUUCGCAGGGACGAAGAAAGUGACGGUACCUGAGGAAUAAUCCACGGCUAACUACGUGCCAGCAGCCGCGGUAAUACGGAGGUGGCAAGCGUUAUUCGGAUUUAUUGGUGGUAAAGGGCGUGUAGGCGGGAGCGCAAGUCAGAUGUGAAAACUCAGGGCUCAACCCUGAGCCUGCAUUUGAAACUGGGUUUCUUGAGUGCUGGAGAGGCAAUCGGAAUUCGGUGUGUAGCGGUGAAAUGCGGAGAUAUACGGAAGAACACCAGUGGCGAAGGCGGAUUGCUGGACAGUAACUGACGCUGAGGCGCGAAAGCGUGGGGAGCGAACAGGAUUAGAUACCCGGGUAGUC
rnacentral:rRNA from 1 species